AACUAUAUUAUUCACAGCACUACCUGCGAACAGGCAUACUCUGGCGCCCGGAAUUCUGGGUUUUAUGAUUAUGCGUGUCUCAGAAUGCUGCAAAUGCCAUUUCCAGGAUUCAAAUCUAAAAAUUUUCCGUGCCUUUGGCACGAGCCCCCCCCCCCCUGAUAUUUCAUAAAGUGUCCGCCACUUGCUUAAAAGGUCUUAAAACUGUUUAUUCUACCGAUAAAUAAAGGGGUUUUUAUUGACUGGGAUUUCAAUAAC